rnacentral:RNase_P_RNA from 1 species
CGAGCGGGAAAAGACGAUCGCGGCGUCCUCGAUCCACGGAUCGGGCGGCGUCGAGGAAAGUCCGGGCUCCACAGGGCAGGGUGCUGGCGCAGGCCAGUCGGGGUGACCCGAAGGAAAGUGCCACAGAGAACAGACCGCCCGCGUCCGCGCGGGUAAGGGUGAAACGGUGUGGUAAGAGCACACCGGAUCCCCGGCGACGGGGAUCGCACGGUAAACCCCAUCCGGAGCAAGGCCGAGCAGGGGCAGGUGGACGCGAGUCCACCAGGGGCGGCCCGCCCCGCCUCGGGUAGUGCCGCCAAGAGGAAUGAUCGUCACCCGGCGAGAGCAAUCGAACCGGGGACAGAACCCGGCUUACGACCCGUCUCGACCG